rnacentral:rRNA from 1 species
CAUCCUCCAAGGCUAAAUACUCCUGACUGACCGAUAGUGAACCAGUACCGUGAGGGAAAGGCGAAAAGAACCCCUGUGAGGGGAGUGAAAUAGAACCUGAAACCGUAUACGUACAAGCAGUGGAAGCCCCAUCACCAGAUUGCUUUUUGCAGUAGCAGUCAAUUAGGCGAUUGCCUAGAUUAUUCAUGGAAAGACUAAAAGGAACUUUAUAUGAAACGACUACUGUUAAUUCUGUGUGUGGCAAUAGGUUCUGUAUCCUCAGUUAGUGCAAAUCCUGGAUUUUGUGAAGAUGGAUACUAUGACCCUGAAAAUCCGUUUUUUUGUCCAAAAAAAGACUGAUAUUUAACACCGUAGUAGUGGACUAUUUAAUUUAAAGAAUUGGUUCACGGUGAGAGUAAUUUGGGAUGGGGUGACUGCGUACCUUUUGUAUAAUGGGUCAGCGACUUACAUUUAGUAGCGAGGUUAAGCGAAUAGCGGAGCCGUAGGGAAACCGAGUGUUAACUGCGCGUUUAGUUGCUAGGUGUAGACCCGAAACC